GUAUGAUUCCUUGGAAUGUUUGGAUUACGCAAAUGUUGAGUUGAUUGGCGAUAGUGAAGAUGUGUGGAUUUUCAACAUUGAUGAUUCUUUGUUGUCCAAUCUUCCUUAUUAACAAGAGCAUGGUUAUGGGUAAGUUCCUUUUUUCAUUUUUUUUGAAAAUUAAAAUGUGUACAAUUUUCUGUUUGGUUGCUGGAAAGUAUGGAAGGAAGAUGGGAAAUGGAUUUAUUUUGAACAUGGACUUGUUCAAGAAAACCAUGGGGUCAGUGAAGAAGGCACUGGCAGAUGCCCAAUUGGGGAAAUCUGACAUUGAUGAGAUUCUGCUCGUUGGAGGAAGUACUUGGAUUCCAAAAGUUCAGGAAUUAUUGAAAGAUUUUUUUGAUGGGAAGGAGCCGAAUAAAGGUGUGAAUCCUGAUGAAGCUGUGGAUUAUGGAGCUGGAGUUUAUGAUGAAAUUCUUAGUACUGAAAGAGAUGAAAGAAUCUACGUUUAGGUUUGCUUCUUCUGGCUCCCCUAAGUCUUGGUAUCGAAACUGCUGGUGGGGUUAACUUAAGACUAAGUUAAUUCCCAGGUAUCCUUACAUGCCUUCCGAGAAGUCUCAGGUUUUUACCACUUACCAGGAUCAGCAAACUUUUGUUUCUAUCAAGAUUUAUGAAGGUGAAAGGAGCCUGGCGAAGGAUUGUUGUGAGCUUGGAAAGUUUAAUUUCUCUGGCAUUGCUCCUGCUCCAAGGCAAGUUGAAAGCAUAAGACAUCUCAAUAUAGAGAGUUUAGGAUAAAAUAGGAAUAUCAUGACGCAUGAUUUAUAAUAUAUAAAAUGCAUAAAAUUCAUUCUAAAUUUUGUGCCUGCAUUGAACUUCAUAAUAUUUUCAUUAAUGCAACGGAGUAGCCAAAAUUGAGUUAACACUUGAGGUUGAUAUCAUUGACAUCAAAACUGUAAAAGCUGAGGACAAGGCAACAAAAAAGUCAGAAUCCUUCACCAUAAACGCUGGCAUGAGGUGUCUGAGUCAAGAAGAGACCGAAAGAAUGGUGAACGAGGCUGAGGAAUUUGAGGAAGAACAUAAGAAAAUAAGAGAGAAAAUUGGUGCCAGGAAUGGACUGGAAAGCGUCAUGAGUGAGGAAAAAGAGAAUAAGAUUGAUGGUCAUGAUAAAGAGAAGCUUGGAAGCUCCAUGAAGACAACCAGAAUGCUGAGAAGAAUGAGGAGGCUGAAGGUGUUUAUAAUCCUAUUAUUAUUAGACAGGUUUAUGAGAAGAGUGGUGGUGCAAGUUCAGGUUAUUCACAGUGAGAAGAAGAGGAAGAUGAAUACCAUCAUGAAUAAAGGAGAGAAGGAUGAUAAAAAAGAAGAAAGAAUUCAGUUUUUUAUCAUGAGUGCUUGAAAUCAGUAUUGAUUAAAAAUGAACCAUUAAGACGCAUUCUGGAUUUUAUUUUAAUUUGGUGGUUAUUAUUUGUAAUUAACAGGGGUAACUGAUUGGUUGGUAAGCAUAUCUGAUCUAAUAUUCUUCUCGCCAGGUUUAGUUAUUUAUUAAAAAGACAGAUUAUGUAGAAUAUGUGAUUUAGUAUUAUAAUCUUAUUCUAAUUCAUACAAAUAAUGCUAUCUGAGUUGAGUGGAUUUGCGAGCUGUAUUGAAAUUAAUUGUCAUCCUUAUUUGUUUUGUUAAUUUUUAUUAAUUUCUCAUAUGGGUUUUGUUGGGAAUGUAUAGCUCCGAGAUAUUUGAUCUAGUGGAGUUUGAUGAAUAGGUUCAGAAAGCCAUGGCAUCCGCUGUAGAACCCAGUGGAGUUUCCAGGUUCUGUAUAUGAUUGCAGCUUGUGAGACCUCUGAUUCUCAACAAGGGACUUGUGAUUCAUCAGUAUAGGUUUUAUAAAUGGAUGAUGUUUGAUUGAUUGAGGCCUGAUUUAAUUGCUGUAAUUUCAGUAUAGCUUCCAGAGCUAUAUUAGCUGUUCCGGGACUAUUCGAGGUUCUAGGAUUGCCGAGGCCGGAACCUCUGUUGCAGUAGGAUAGGUUCUAUAAAGGUGUGACGUUUGAUGGAUUUAGCCUGAUGUUAGCACCAUUAUAUAGUUUGCAAAAUGUGAAAGUAUUGAAAACGCUCAAGAGCUCUUCAUUACAGGUUGCAAAAUGUAAAAUUUGCAGGUAUUCUUACCUUUUAUGAUUUUCAUAUGUUGGUUUAUUCACUUCUCUCUUUUAUUUUAUUUUUCCACUCUCAUAUGGUGAAUUUAGUUUAGAGGAUAAGCAUGUAAAACAUUGUCCCCCUAGUUUGCAUUAUGUGUUUAUGUCUCACUUUUUCUCUUCCUUAUUAUGGGAUAAUUUUUACGGGCCUAAUGUUUCUUGGAGCACGUAUGAACCUGAUUUUAUAUCUCAUGUACAGAGAAUGACUUAUAUGUUAGGGCAUAAAAGCUGAUAGCUUAUUUUUUGCAUAUUCAAUAUGAUAGUCGGGUUAUUGUUUUCAAUAAAUUAGGUUGAAAGCUGUUAGGAUCUUAAGUGCAAGGUAUGAGACUUGGAUCCCACAUUGGAAGGUAUCGGCAACUGGUGUGAAGUUUAUAUGAGCUUGAGCUCUCCCAUCUCAAUAGCUAGCUUUUGAAAUGUGAUUCUCCUAAGGUUCGUAUCAUUUGGUAUCAGAGUCAUCACCAUGUCUCCCAGUUGCAAUCGUGCGGCGCGGGUGGUGACGCCGACAUUGCAGUGUUCGCCUGGGGUUAGCAGAGAGUUAAUGCACAGCCAGCCUGCGUGGGCGUCGGGGCUGUGGAGCGUGGUGGAAUGUUAGGAUCUCAAGUGUAAGGUAUGAGACUUGGAUCUCACAUUGGAAAGUAUGGACAACUAGUGUGGGGUUUAUAUGACUUUGAGCUCUCCCAUCUCAAUAGCUAGCUUUUGAGGUGUGGUUCUCCUAAGGUUCGUAUCAGAAGCAAAGCCCAUUGCUGUGCUUUCUAAGGUCUAUGCCUCAAUUAUCUUUAUUCCCUUGAGGGAAAAUGUAUAUGCUUUCACUGAUUGCCUCUCAUGGUUGUAUAUUUUUUUCACUGACAACUGGACAUUGCAUUGUCUAACUCAGUGUUGUGCUGAUAAUUUAACUUUGUCUUUACAUGUUUGCAUAGCAUAUACAAGUAGAGGAAUCAGAAGUGAUAUUGUUCUUGGUAUUGGGACAUAAUUAUGUGUAUAUGGUCUGUUUUAUUAAAUGAUGAGGAUCUAAGACUUUAAGGACAUUAAGCUGUCGUUGGUGCAUGUAUUCUAGAUUUGUACCCAAAACUUCUGUGAAUUUUCUAGAUGCCUUGGGAAUUCCCGCGCACAUUGCCUUCUUAUUUUAUUUCUUCCCCUUUCCCAGAUCCUAGCGGAACCAAGACCAUCAGUAUGACCAAGGUAUUCUUUGUACCUAGGACGGCAGUAUCCACCAUUCUGUCUUUUUCUUGAGUUAUUCUAAUAUUCAGGCACCGAAGGGGAGCUAAAUGAUGUUAAAAGGACAAAAUAACAAUUGUUGAGAUGGGGAUGGAAGUACAACAAGAACUUUGAGGAACAAGCUGCCUAACUUCAUAUGCCAACACGGUGGUCUCAGAUUGUGGAGGUUAAUUUAUUUUUUCAGUCGUAUAGUUUAUUUUAUUUAUUCUACAAAUCUUCUGAUUUCUUGGAGAGAUUUGACACAUAAUAUGAACAACCUUUAUCAUGCCAUUUGUUCCUAAACCAACCCCUCCACACGGCGCCCAUUAUUAUUAAUAUCUAGACGUAUAUCUUUGCCUGGAAACAGAUUUGAAAUCUUAUAUCAGUGAGCCCCCAUUAUUAUUAAUAUUUUUCGUUCUCUAAUAGAAGCAUCAGCUAACUGUUUAAUAUGGUCAUUUACAGAAUUCUUGAUUCAUCCCUUGGUGCUUCUGCUUCUCCAAACUGUUCAUUAAGGACGGUAUUUAAAUUGUGUCAGGUAGUACUUAUCUAACCAUUUUGGAGUGGUUGCCUCUUUUUUGCAAUGUAUCUUGAUUAAAUUGAUAAGUCUGCUUGCAGCUAGGUUGCCCUUACAUGCAUGGCUAAACUAUGAGAUGAAAGGUCUUAAAGCCCAGGUGGUUUAAAUGCUGAUAGUUUUACAUUUCUUAAUGUUAUCAUGGUGAAACAAUUGUCAAAUGGUGCAUGUCACUCCCUUUUGUUUAAGCUAAUCAUGUCAAUUUUGAGACAUGAAUCGUUUGAAGCCUUGAGGAGACGGUAUACUUUAAGUGUUGCUCUGUUUCUGGCUUUAAAAAAUUAAUCAACUCUGAAUUGCUUUCUGGUUUUGGAAAUGAAUCUUAUUAAAUCUGAUAGUAGAAAUUACCUUUUCAAAGAUGUCAUUAAGAUGUUUGAUUACUCUCAAGUUCCCCCUUUGUUUUCUAUUAUGCUUCAGUGGGUUCUCCUUGUCUUUUUUAAAACUAAGAAUUCUUUAUAUUAACUAAAGAAGAAAAGAAGUAAUUAGAUUCUUCAGGCAUCUUGUAAAUUAUAUUGUCAUAAAUUCACUUGGUUGGAUUGUGUUAAGGUGUGUAUUUUCCAGGCUGCUACUCUUACCGUGCAAUUGGGAUUGGCCUUUCAUUAUGUCUUUGCAUUUUUUUUUUCAAUCAUUUUGCUUCAUUUAACAUAAACUGUUGCCUCAUUCUUGGAUGAUUUUAAUUGUACUUUCUCUCAAUUCACAAAAGGUUCAUUCUGCUGGCAUCUUUCCUUAUAUUAAAAAAGCAUUGCAAUCUUUUGCACCUGUUAAUAUCCAUUUUGGUCUUAUGACAUCAAAAAGCCACAUGUUUGUUUGAGUUUUUACAAGUUUGACUAUAUCUGAAGUUUUCUGAUAUGGGUUUCUCUAAUCUCUAUGCUGUUUCAAAAACAGAAAUAGUACAAGUUCUGGUUUAUCAUAGUCAUAGUUUUAUAUUGCUAUGUUGUCUUUUUCCAUAUUAAUGAAGUCAAUCUCCUCUUAAAACUCUACAACUUACCCAUUGUUGUCUGUUUUUAGGCUUCCCUUGGAAUGUGAAAUAAUAGUUUAUAUAUUUUGUAACUUAUUACAAUAGUGUGCUGACCUUAUUGUGUACAAGUUGGUCAGGGCUUGUUUCCUUGAGAUGAUAAGAAGUUUCCCAGGUAGUCAUUGCCGUCACCAAGUGUGGAUGCUCAUUGAUGAAGAAUUUUGGUGUGUCGGCUAUUAGUGUCGGUAACUUGCAGGGUUUUGAACUGGAAACUCGAAUGUUCUUUACAUGUUUAAGUUUAUCACACAAUGUACUUGGUCUUUGGGGUUUGACCAUUCUUUGUCUGUGUUGAAACUUGCUGCAGAAUUCUUAUUAUUGGAUUUGCAACAAACAAAAUUCUAGAACUUGAGCUGAUCACUGUUGAUGAUUUGUUCACAGUUGUUGAUUGCUUAACUGUAUUAUAAUUGAACCCAAAUUUUCUUUAGAAA